UAUUGGUCAAUAGCCUAACGGCUGAACCAGCAACUUGGAGGAAUGUAUAGGGAAACCUGGUAAAAUGAGAGUACCUAGUAAUAUUAGUAAUUAAUAUGAGAUUAACUUUGUUAAUUAAAAUUCAAAGUAGAUGUGUGAUUAUGACAAUAUCUGCUUAGGUCUUGACCAAGUCACGUGCCAGCAGUCGCGGUAAUACGUGGUAGACGAGUGUUAUUCAUCUUUAAUAGGUUUAAAGGGUACCUCGACGGUUAAUUAAGCAAAAUGUACUAAUUAACUAGAGUUUAAUGUAAGAAGGAUCGAGUACAGUGAGUGUAGAGAUAGAAUUCUUUGAUACCAUAUAGGAACUGGUAAAGGCGAAGGCAACUUCUAUGUAAAAAACUGACGUUCAGGGACGAAGGCUCAUGUAAAAGAAUAGGAUUAGAUACCCUAGUAUUUUGGGCAGAAAAUGAUGAGUGUCAUAUGCAAGAAAUAUUAUGUGUAUAAAUGAAAGUGCAAGCACUCCACCUCAAGAGUAACGUGGCAACACGGGAACUGAAAUCAUUAGACCGUUUCUGAAACUCGUAGUGAAGUAUGUUGUUUAAUUUGAUGGUCCACAAAAAACCUUACCACAAUAUGAAUAACUAUAGUACAAUUAUAAUAUAGUUACAAGCGUUGCACGGCUGUCUUCAGUCAAUGUUGUGAAACUUUGGUUAGAUCCAUUUAAUUGACGUAAACCCUUACUUUAUUUGUUAUAAAGUAGUUCGCCGCUAUAUUGGUAGUGAUAUAUGGGACUAGGACAAGUCAUCAUGACCUGAACAUUGUGGGCUAUAGAC
rnacentral:rRNA from 1 species